GCCUGGGUGGCUCAGUCGGUGAGCAUCUGACUUCGGCUCAGGUCAUGAUCUCACUGUCUGUGGGUUUGAGCCCUGCAUUGGGCU
rnacentral:tRNA from 1 species